rnacentral:rRNA from 1 species
CGGGGUGCAGCAGGCGCGAAAACUUUACACUGCGGGAAACCGCGAUAAGGGGACCCCGAGUGCCAGCACCUAGUGCUGGCUGUCCAGUUGUCCAAAUAACAACUGUUAGCAAGGGCCGGGCAAGACCGGUGCCAGCCGCCGCGGUAACACCGGCGGCCCGAGUGGUAGCCGCUAUUAUUGGGUUUAAAGGGUCCGUAGCCGGCUUAUUAAGUCUUUUGGGAAAUCUGGCGGCUCAAUCGUCAGGCGUCCAAAAGAUACUGGUAGGCUUGGGACCGGGAGAGGUGGGAGGUACUCCAGGGGUAGGGGUGAAAUCUCGUAAUCCUUGGGGGACCACCGGUGGCGAAGGCAUCCCACCAGAACGGGUCCGACGGUGAGGGACGAAAGCUGGGGGCACGAACCGGAUUAGAUACCCGGGUAGUCCCAGCUGUAAACGAUGCUCGCUAGGUGUCAGGUGCGGCGCGACCGCAUCUGGUGCCGCAGUGAAAACUUGAAGCGAGUCACCUGGGAAGUACGGUCGCAAGGCUGAAACUUAAAGGAAUUGGCGGGGGAGCAC